CCUACGGGGUGCAGCAGUGGGGAAUAUUGCGCAAUGGGCGAAAGCCUGACGCAGCGACGCCGCGUGAGGGAUGAAGGUCUUCGGAUCGUAAACCUCUGUCAGCAGGGAAGAACGGUCACUGUGCUAAUCAGCAGUGAAUUGACGGUACCUGACCAAGAAGCCCCGGCUAACUACGGGCCAGCAGCCGCGGUAAUACGUAGGGGGCAAGCGUUAUCCGGAUGUACUGGGUGUAAAGGGAGCGUAGACGGCAAGGCAAGUCUGGAGUGAAAGCCCGUGGCUCAACCACGGGACUGCUUUGGAAACUGUGUUGCUGGAGUGCAGGGAGGGUAGGCGGAAUUCCUGGUGUAGCGGUGAAAUGCGUAGAUAUUAGGAGGAACACCGGUGGCGAAGGCGGCUUACUGGACUGUAACUGACGUUGAGGCUCGAAGGCGUGGGGAGCGAACAGGAUUAGAUACCCGGGUAGUC
rnacentral:rRNA from 1 species